rnacentral:piRNA from 1 species
UGAUUAUUUUUGAAUGCCCUAUGUGUCUU